rnacentral:rRNA from 1 species
UGGGGAAUCUUAGACAAUGGGGGCAACCCUGAUCUAGCCAUGCCGCGUGAGUGAUGAAGGCCUUAGGGUUGUAAAGCUCUUUCAGCUGGGAAGAUAAUGACGGUACCAGCAGAAGGAAGCCCCGGCUAACUCCGUGCCAGCAGCCGCGGUAAUACGGAGGGGGCUAGCGUUGUUCGGAAUUACUGGGCGUAAAGCGCACGUAGGCGGACCGGAAAGUUGGGGGUGAAAUCCCGGGGCUCAACCUCGGAACUGCCUUCAAAACUAUCGGUCUGGAGUUCGAGAGAGGUGAGUGGAAUUCCGAGUGUAGAGGUGAAAUUCGUAGAUAUUCGGAGGAACACCAGUGGCGAAGGCGGCUCACUGGCUCGAUACUGACGCUGAGGUGCGAAAAGCGUGGGGAGCAAAACAGGAUUAGAUACCCUGGUAGUCCACGCCGUAAAACGAUGAAUGCCAGUCGUCGGGUUGCAUGCAAUUCGGUGACACACCUAACGGAUUAAGCAUUCCGCCUGGGGAGUAC